GAUGAACGCUGGCGGCGUGCCUAAUACAUGCAAGUCGAGCGAAUGGAUUAAGAGCUUGCUCUUAUGAAGUUAGCGGCGGACGGGUGAGUAACACGUGGGUAACCUGCCCAUAAGACUGGGAUAACUCCGGGAAACCGGGGCUAAUACCGGAUAACAUUUUGAACCGCAUGGUUCGAAAUUGAAAGGCGGCUUCGGCUGUCACUUAUGGAUGGACCCGCGUCGCAUUAGCUAGUUGGUGAGGUAACGGCUCACCAAGGCAACGAUGCGUAGCCGACCUGAGAGGGUGAUCGGCCACACUGGGACUGAGACACGGCCCAGACUCCUACGGGAGGCAGCAGUAGGGAAUCUUCCGCAAUGGACGAAAGUCUGACGGAGCAACGCCGCGUGAGUGAUGAAGGCUUUCGGGUCGUAAAACUCUGUUGUUAGGGAAGAACAAGUGCUAGUUGAAUAAGCUGGCACCUUGACGGUACCUAACCAGGA
rnacentral:rRNA from 1 species